AACGAACGCUGGCGGCAUGCCUAACACAUGCAAGUCGAACGAGACCUUCGGGUCUAGUGGCGCACGGGUGCGUAACGCGUGGGAACCUGCCCUUAGGUUCGGAAUAACUCCCCGAAAGGGGUGCUAAUACCGGAGAAUGUCUUCGGACCAAAGAUUUAUCGCCUUUGGAUGGGCCGGCGUUGGAUUAGCUAGUUGGUAGGGUAAAAGCCUACCAAGGCGACGAUCCAUAGCUGGUCUGAGAGGAUGAUCAGCCACACUGGGACUGGGACACGGCCCAGACUCCUACGGGAGGCAGGAGUGGGGAAUAUUGGACAAUGGGCGAAAGCAUGAUCCAGCAAGGCCGCGUGAGUGAUGAAGGCCUUAGGGUUGUAAAGCUCUAUUACCCGGGCUGAUAAUGACAGUACCGGGAGAAUAAGCUCCGGCUAACUCCGUG
rnacentral:rRNA from 1 species